GAUGAACGCUAGCGGCAGGCCUAAUACAUGCAAGUCGGACGGGAUUCAGGAGCUUGCUUCUGAUGAGAGUGGCGCACGGGUGCGUAACACGUAUGUAACCUACCUUUAUCAGGGGGAUAGCCUCUCGAAAGAGAGAUUAAGCCCGCAUAAAAUCACAGCACAGCAUUGUGUAAUGAUCAAAUAUUUAUAGGAUCAAGAUGGGCAUGCGGAACAUUAGCUAGAUGGCGGGGUAACGGCCCACCAUGGCGACGAUGUUUAGGGGAUCUGAGAGGAUGGCCCCCCACGCUGGUACUGAGACACGGACCAGACUCGGACGGGAGGCAGCAGUAAGGAAUAUUGGUGAAUGGGCGGAAGCCUGAACCAGCCAUGCCGCGGGCAGGAAGACGGCCAUACGGGUUGUAAACUGCUUUUAUACGGGAAUAAACCCAGAUACGUGUAUCUGGCUGAAUGUACUGUAAGAAUAAGGAUCGGCUAACUCCGUG
rnacentral:rRNA from 1 species